GUCCGAGCGUUGUCCGGAAUUAUUGGGCGUAAAGAGCUCGUAGCGGCGUGUCGCGUCUGCUGUGAAAGACCGGGGCUUAACUCCGGUUCUGCAGUGGAUACGGGCAUGCUAAGGUAGUAGGGAGACUGGAAUUCCUGGUGUACGGUGAAAUGCGCAAUAUCAGAGGAACACCGGUGGCGAAGGCGGGUCUCUGGGCCUUACCUGACGCUGAGAGCGAAAGCAUGGGGAGCGAACAGGAUUAGAUACCCUGGUAGUCCAUGCCGUAAACGUUGGGCGCUAGUGUGGGGACUUUCCACGGUUUCCGCGCCGUAGCUAACGCAUUAAGCGCCCCGCCUGGGGAGUACGGCCGCAAGGCUAAAACUCAAAGGAAUUGACGGGGGCCCGCACAAGCGGCGGAGCAUGUUGCUUAAUUCGACGCAACGCGAAGAACCUUACCAAGGUUUGACAUCACCCGUGGACUCGCAGAGAUGUGAGGUCAUUUAGUUGGCGGGUGACAGGUGGUGCAUGGCUGUCGUCAGCUCGUGUCGUGAGAUGUUGGGUUAAGUCCCGCAACGAGCGCAACCCUUGUUCCAUGUUGCCAGCACGUAAUGGUGGGGACUCAUGGGAGACUGCCGGGGUCAACUCGGAGGAAGGUGGGGAUGACGUCAAGUCAUCAUGCCCCUUAUGUCUUGGGCUGCAAACAUGCUACAAUGGCCGGUACAAUGGGCGUGCGAUACCGUAAGGUGGAGCGAAUCCCCUUAAAAGCCGGUCUCAGUUCGGAUUGGGGUCUGCAACUCGACCCCAUGAAGGUGGAGUC
rnacentral:rRNA from 1 species